UGGGGAAUAUUGCACAAUGGAGGCAACUCUGAUGCAGCAAUGCCGCGUGUGUGAAGAAGGCCUUAGGGUUGUAAAGCACUUUCAAUAGGGAGGAAAAGCGAAGCUUUAAUAGAGUGAGCCUUGACGUUACCUAUAGAAGAAGGACCGGCUAACUCCGUGCCAGCAGCCGCGGUAAUACGGAGGGUCCGAGCGUUAAUCGGAAUUACUGGGCGUAAAGCGCGCGUAGGCGGAUAAUUAAGUCAGAUGUGAAAUCCCUGGGCUCAACCUAGGAACUGCAUUUGAUACUGGUUAUCUAGAGUAUGGUAGAGGUGAGUGGAAUUUCAGGUGUAGCGGUGAAAUGCGUAGAGAUCUGAAGGAACAUCAGUGGCGAAGGCGACUCACUGGGCCAUUACUGACGCUGAGGUGCGAAAGCGUGGGUAGCAAACA
rnacentral:rRNA from 1 species